rfam:Triticum aestivum genome assembly, contig: Triticum_aestivum_CS42_TGACv1_scaffold_435555_5DL
UAAGUACUCCCUCCGUCCCGAAAUACUUGUCAUCAAAAUGGACAAAAAAGGAUGUAUCUAGAACUACAAUAUGUCUAGAUACAUCUCCUUUUAUCCAUUUUGAUGACAAGUAUUUCCGGACGGAGGGAGUAUCUC